GCAAACUUGGUCAUUUAGAGGAAGUAAAAGUCGUAACAAGGUUUCCGUAGGUGAACCUGCGGAAGGAUCAUUAUUGAAAUGACUCGAAGUGGACUGUUGCUGGCCUUUCACAAGGCAUGUGCACGUCUUCUUUAGAUCUAUUCAUCCACCUGUGCACUUUUUGUAGAAGUUCUCUAGGUUGUUGUUCGGUUGUGCAGCUCGCGCAGCUCUGUGAUGACCUAGGCUUCUAUGUCUUAUAAACUCUAUUGAAUGUAUUUGAAGGUCAUUUACUGGGACUUAACUGGCCCUUUAAACUUAUACAACUUUCAGCAACGGAUCUCUUGGCUCUCGCAUCGAUGAAGAACGCAGC
rnacentral:misc_RNA from 1 species